rnacentral:lncRNA from 8 species
AUGCACGGACACAGGGAAAUGUACUUACAUAUCACACACACACACACACACACACACACACACACACACACACACACACACACACACACACACACACACACACACACACAACUGUUACUGCUACUACUGUUACUGUUACUACUUAAACUGUCACUGCUACUACUGUUACUACUACUGUUACUGUUACUACUACUACUACUGUUACUGUUACUACUGUUACUGUUACUACUGUUACUGUUCCUACUGUUACUGUUACUACUUUUACUGUUACUGUUACUACUACUACUGUUACUACUACUACUGUUACUACUACUACUGUUACUACUACUACUACUGUUACUACUACUACUGUUACUACUGUUACUACCACUACUACUACUACUACUGUUACUGUUACUACUACUACUGUUACUACCACUACUACUACUACUACUACUGUUACUACUGUUACUACUGUUAAUGCUACUGUUUCUGUUACUACUACUGUUACUGUUACUACUACUGUUACUGUUACUACUACUACUACUGUUACUGUUACUACUACUACUGUUAUUGUUACCACUACUCCUGUUACUGUUACCACUACUCCUGUUACUGUUACCACUACUCCUGUUACUGUUACUACCACUACUACUGUUACUGUUACUACUGCUACUGUUACCACUGUUACUACUACUACUACUAAUGUUACUACUACCACUACUACUGUUACUGUUACUACUACUACUGUUACUGUUGUCACUGUUACUACUACUACUGUUGCUGUUACUACUACUACUACUACUGUUGCUGUUACUACUACUACUACUACUACUACUACUGUUACUAUUACUACUACUGUUACCGUUACUACUACUGUUACUGUUACUACUACUACUGUUACUGUUUCUGUUUCUGUUACUACUACUGUUACUACUACUGUUACUGCUGUUACUACUACUGUUACUGUUACUACUACUACUGUUACUGUUACUACUGUUACUGUUUCUGUUUCUGUUACUGUUACUACUACUGUUACUGUUACUACUACUGUUACUACUGUUACUACUACUGUUACUGUUACUACUACUGUUACUGUUACUACUACUACUACUGUUGCUACUACUGUUACUGUUUCUGUUUCUGUUACUGUUACUACUACUGUUACUGUUUCUGUUUCUGUUACUAUUACUACUACUGUUACUACUACUGUUACUACUACUAUUACUACUACUGUUACUACUACUGUUACUACUACUGUUACUACUACUACUACUACUACUGUAA